ACUGAACGCUGGCGGCAUGCUUUACACAUGCAAGUCGAACGGUAACAGGCCGCAAGGUGCUGACGAGUGGCGAACGGGUGAGUAAUGCAUCGGAACGUGCCCAGUCGUGGGGGAUAACGCAGCGAAAGUUGCGCUAAUACCGCAUACGAUCUACGGAUGAAAGCGGGGGACCGUAAGGCCUCGCGCGAUUGGAGCGGCCGAUGUCAGAUUAGGUAGUUGGUGGGGUAAAGGCUCACCAAGCCAACGAUCUGUAGCUGGUCUGAGAGGACGACCAGCCACACUGGGACUGGAACACGGCCCAGACUCCUACGGGAGGCAGCAGUGGGGAAUUUUGGACAAUGGGCGCAAGCCUGAUCCAGCAAUGCCGCGUGCAGGAAGAAGGCCUUCGGGUUGUAAACUGCUUUUGUACGGAACGAAACGGUCCUGGUUAAUACCUGGGGCUAAUGACGGUACCGUAGGAAUAAGCACCGGCUAACUACGUGCCAGCCGCCGCUGUAACAC
rnacentral:rRNA from 1 species